rnacentral:lncRNA from 1 species
UUUGAUCUCAUUCAUUUCUUCAAUUCAUAGGGUGUAGCGCUGUACCAUGCUCCGCCUGCUGCUCCUAGGCCACAACUACUUCGAGGCCACACACACCAUAACCAUCCAUGUGUUAUCCUAAUGCUCCUCCGCCUCCUCUCAUGUUCCAGAUGAACUCAGUUUAGAUGCUGUCUAGCUUUGAUUCGAGGGUAGGAGCUCGAUUUGGACUUUUUGGAGCUAGAUUUGGUGUUGUGGAGGCUUGAUUUGUGUACUGAAGUGCUGGAUUUGGUGAACGAAGAAACAAUCAAGGUCAGCUGCAGCUAU